UUGAGUUGUAGGUUGUUGGCCACAAAGUGAGUAAGGUCGCCGUGGCGGCUCACCGUGCCCUCCAGCUCUAGGGGGCUGGAGAUAGUGGCGCGACGUCCUCCGCCCGCGCCGGUCUCGCCACUGGAUGAAGACCCCCCUCCACCGCACGCCCCACUCAGCCCGUCCAGGCUGCGGCUGUCCUGAAGGCGGCUGGGGAAGGAGCGGCCAGCCCUACCCGCCGCCGCCUCUUCGUCCUCGUCGUCGUCGUCGUCACCCUCUUGCUGCGGCAGCUCCACAUUCAUCUCGACGCCUCCGGGGCUCCCUCGACGGCAGACCCUCAGAGCGGAGGGCUGAUCCUCGCUGGGCUCCGGCUCCGGGUACCAGGAGGACGGGGGCGGGGCGUGCUCGGAACCUGGCACCCCCCGGCGUCCCCGGGCCCCUGACGGCGUCGCCCGGGAGCUCGGCUUGUCCUCCCAAGUGUCCAGCUCCGGCCCAUGGGCGAUGCUGCCGCUCCAAGUCUUUGGGGACGCUCGGGGAUGACGGCUCGAGACCCCAACGCUCUCAGCCUCUUCCUCCCCGGACAGCGUCCGGACUGAGGGCGGCUUCGAGGGCGUUCGGGACGGCCUGCCGCUGAAAGUCGCGGCCUGGUGCUCAGCUCCGACCGAAAGCUCCGGCUCCGGCCCGAGCCGCCCCUGGGCGGCCUCCAUACUGAGGGUGGGGGCCGGAACCGCGAGUCGUCCGCCGGGCUCCCCGGUCAGCGGCGGCGCCUUUAAGGGGCGUUGGCGGAGGCGCGCCGAUUGGCAGCCGGAUGAUAAUGGUCCGGACAGGAAGAGCUCUGUGAUUGGUCGCCACCCCAGGAAGUUCCGGGAGGAGGGCUGUUAUUGAACUGCAGAACACAAGUGAAAGCCAGUCGGGUGGCAGCUCCGGGGUGACAGCUGUGCGCGGGGCCCCGCCCCUUCGGAAAGUUGAGGGGGCGGGUCUUAAAAGACCCGAGCCCCGGAGCGCCGGAGUCCCACCGGGGCGGAGCUUAGGCUCUAUGUCCACGGUGGUGUCGUCCGGAAUUACCGCCGAGCAGUCGCACUCCACCGGGGAUCGUUUUUGGAAGCUCUAGGGGUUCUUGGAUGCUCAGGGUUGGACCGAACCGAGCUAGAAAACCGAGAAAGAAAAACAGCAGCGCCAAGAGAGAGAAAGCCGGAAUUCCCAGCGGAACGGGGCUGAUUGGUUCCAUCCUUGAAACAUUGACAGACUGAUCGUUGAAGCGCCCAGAGUGACUCACUGUGCAGGGGAAUUGCAGGUCGUGGACUUUCCUGUGCUUUUGUCACUCUUCGGCCUCCUGUCCCCUCUGCGUAGAGCAUUUCUCUCAUUGGAGGAUAAUAUUGAGGGUUGUUUGUUUGUUUGUUGUCACAAGAGAAAAUAUUCCAUAGGUGAAAGAAUCAGACGUUUUGAUAAGCACGCUCGGGAAAAUAAAGGGCUGUGAUUGAGAGUAAGAAGGACUAGUUAGAUGAGGCCUCGGUCGGGAAAGGUCUCUGAUGGGAACUAUCAAGGGCAUCAACUCAGCUUGCUGACAGAGGGAGGAAACCUCAGAGGCAAAGAGGUUUGAUAUAAACAAGAAACGCUGGGGUACGGAGUGUGGGGGAAGGACAGAGAGAAGACACCAGGGCUAAAAUAAAUGAGAAGGGAGAGGAUUAACAACAUCCAGAUCGAAGAUUCAGGACCCCCGGGCCACAUUCCCAGGGCACUGUGGUUUCUGUAACAGAUGGAGAGUCUUUCCAAGGGCCGUGGGACAGGAAUCAAAUGGUAGAAAAGUCGUCAACUGCAACACAGCCAAAGCUCUGGGACCCUUCUAGUUAGCAAAACAAUGAAUUAAUAUUCUUCCUUGGUUUAGAAUCUUUGUAUACCCCCGGCUGUCCUGGAAGUAGCUUUGUAGACCAGGCUGCCCUCAAACUCACAUCACAGAGAUCUUUCUGCUUCUGCCUCCCAAGUUCUGGCUGGGGUUAAAGGCAGAAGGACACCUGUUCCUGUUUUUGAAACUGAAUCCUGUGUGGAAAGUGUGCACAAUCACUGUGGCUAGUAAUUGCAGAAUCUUCCUGUUUUUUUUUUUUUUUUUUUUNNNNNNNNNNNNNNNNNNNNNNNNNNNNNNNNNNNNNNNNNNNNAAAUUCGCCUGCCUCUGCCUCCCAAGUGCUGGGAUUAAAGGCGUGCGGCACCAUGCCCAGCCCUGUCUUUAUUCUUGUGUUCCUUGCUCGUUUCUUGAGCUCUUUUUCCUUCAAAAGAAGCCAUCUUUUGCAAGUCUUUUGUUUUCUACUACUAUUACUACUGCUACUAUAAUUACUUUCUCCUCCUCUUCUUCAUGCCAAAGGUGUGCAAAAUAAGAUGACAUUUGGUGUGAUAGUGGAGAUUUUAGUUGGUGUCAUAAGGUUUAGUUGGGACAUUGUCUUCCCUAUUUGGUGACUCCAUUUAGAUUCCUUUUGUAUAUGUACAUGUCUUAGGGAGCCUCUAUAGUAGGUUUCCAUAUGGUUUUAAAUGUCCUUUAGUGUUAGCUGUCCCUCCCCAUAUUUCCUCCUUUACCUUCCUUCCUUCCUUCCUUCCUUGAUCCAUUUAAUCCUCCUAGUUUCCCCUUUGGCUCUCCAUAACAGUAUAUUCUAUUUCCCUGUCUAAGUACCUGUCUUAGUUUGGGUUUCAAUUGCUAUAAAAGAGACACCAUGACC
ensembl:antisense 9330160F10Rik RIKEN cDNA 9330160F10 gene